rnacentral:misc_RNA from 1 species
GAUGAAGAACGUAGCGAAAUGCGAUAAGUAAUGUGAAUUGCAGAAUUCAGUGAAUCAUCGAAUCUUUGAACGCACCUUGCGCCCUUUGGCCAUUCCGACGGGCAUGCCUGUUUGAGUAUCAUGAACACCUCAACUCUUUAUGGUUUUCCAUGAUGAGCUUGGACUCUGGGGGUUUUGCUGGCUCACAGUCGGCUCCUCUAAAAUGAAUCAGCUUACCAGUGUUUGGUGGGUAUCAUGGGUGUGAUAACUAUCUACGCUUGUGGUUUUUCCACCAGGUAACCUUCAGCAGUGGAGGUUCGCUGGAGCUCAUAGAUGUCUCUCCUCAGUGAGGACAGCCCUUUGAAUGUUUGAUCUCAAAUCAGGUAGGACUACCCGCUGAACUUAAGCAUAUCAAUAAGCGGAGGA